rnacentral:rRNA from 1 species
AAACCAACAGGGAUUGCCUUAGUAGCGGCGAGUGAAGCGGCAAUAGCUCAAAUUUGAAAUCUGCCAACAGGCCGAGUUGUAAUUUGAAGAAAGCAAUUCUGGAUGUGUCUUUGCUCAAGUUCCUUGGAAUAGGACAUCAUGGAGGGUGAGAAUCCCGUGAUGCGAAGGUAGCACGUCUAUGUAGAAUGUUUUCGACGAGUCGAGUUGUUUGGGAAUGCAGCUCAAAGUGGGUGGUAAAUUCCAUCUAAAGCUAAAUAUUGGCGAGAGACCGAUAGCGAACAAGUACUGUGAAGGAAAGAUGAAAAGAACUUUGAAAAGAGAGUGAAAAAGUACGUGAAAUUGUUGAAAUGGAAGGGCUUGAGAUUAGACAUGGUGUUUAGUGUUCCGCUUUCUUUNGGGAAUGUGUACUCGCUUUACACCGGGCCAGCAUCAGUUUUGAUGGGAGGAUAAAUGGUAUUGAAUGUGGCUGCUUGCAGUGUUAUAGCUUUAUCAAAUACUUCCAAUCGGGACUGAGGACCGCGCAUUUGCUAGGAUGCUGGCGUAAUGAUCUUAAGCCACCCGUCUUGAAC